UUCCUCUUGUAUUUAUUUUGAGGUAUGACCUGCCCACUGAUUGUUUAAAGGGCCGCGGUAUUUUGACCGUGCAAAGGUAGCAUAAUCAUUAGUUUUUUAAUUGAAAGCUGGUAUGAAUGGUUGGACGAAGAAUUUUCUGUUUCUUUUUUAUAACUUGAACUUAAAUUUUAAGUUAAAAUGCUUAAAUAUUUAAAUGGGACGAGAAGACCCUAUAGAGUUUAAUAUUUUAUUAAUUUUUUUGUUUGUUUAUUUAUUAAUUGUUAAUUUAUUUCAUUGGGGCGAUGGGAAAAUUUAUUUAACUUUUUUUAUUAUGUUUUACUUGUUUGUAAUUUUUUGAUCCUUUAUUAUUGAUUUUAAGAGUAAAUUACCUUAGGGAUAACAGCGUAAUCUUUUUUUAGAGUUCUUAUUAGUAAAGAGGGUUGCGA
rnacentral:rRNA from 1 species